AAUGAAUGUUGGCGGCGUGGAUUAGGCAUGCAAGUCGUACGCUUUAUGUAGCAAUACAUGAGGAGUGGCGUAAGGGAGAGUAAUGCAUGGUUAGCUACCCUCGGGACUGGGAUAGCGGCGGGAAACUGCCGGUAAUACCAGAUGACAUCUUCGGAUCAAACGUGUAAAUCGGCCCGAGGAGGUGACCAUGUCCUAUCAGCUAGGUGGCGGUGUAACGGACCAACAAGGCUAAGACGGGUAUGGGGCGUGAGAGCGUGCCCCCACUCACUGGGACUGAGACACUGCCCAGACACCUACGGGUGGCUGCAGUCGAGAAUCUUCGGCAAUGGGCGCAAGCCUGACCGAGCGACGCCGCGUGCGGGAUGAAGGCCUUCGGGUUGUAAACCGCUGUCGUAGGGGAGGAAGGCUCCGUGCAGAACGGAGUUUGACCGAUCCUAGGAGGAAGGGCCGGCUAAUCUCGUGCCAGCAGCCGCCGCAG
rnacentral:rRNA from 1 species